AGACUUACCUGGCAGGGGAGACACCAUGGUCAGACAGGUUGUUUUCCCUGGGCUAAGCUCAUCCCUUGUGUUGACACCUGUGAUCUCAAAUGCAGGAAGCUCAACUGCAUAAUUUGUGAUAGUACGGAACUGUGUUCACGCUCUCUCUC
rnacentral:snRNA from 1 species